UACGGAGGGUGCAAGCGUUAUCCGGAUUCAAUGGGUUUAAAGGGUGCGUAGGCGGGCAGGUAAGUCCGUGGUGAAAUCUCUGAGCUUAACUCAGAAACUGCCAUGGAUACUAUUUGUCUUGAAUAUUGUGGAGGCAAGCGGAAUAUGUCAUGUAGCGGUGAAAUGCUUAGAUAUGACAUAGAACACCCAUUGCGAAGGCAGCUUGCUACACAAUGAUUGACGCUGAGGCACGAAAGCGUGGGGAUCAAACAGG
rnacentral:rRNA from 1 species